rnacentral:rRNA from 1 species
GACGAACGCUGGCGGCGUGCUUAACACAUGCAAGUCGAACGGAAAGACCCUUCGGGGUACUCGAGUGGCGAACGGGUGAGUAACACGUGGGUGAUCUGCCCUGCACUUUGGGAUAAGCCUGGGAAACUGGGUCUAAUACCGAAUAGGACCACGCGCUUCAUGGUGUGUGGUGGAAAGCUUUUGCGGUGUGGGAUGGGCCCGCGGCCUAUCAGCUUGUUGGUGGGGUAAUGGCCUACCAAGGCGACGACGGGUAGCCGGCCUGAGAGGGUGACCGGCCACACUGGGACUGAGAUACGGCCCAGACUCCUACGGGAGGCAGCAGUGGGGAAUAUUGCACAAUGGGCGCAAGCCUGAUGCAGCGACGCCGCGUGAGGGAUGACGGCCCUCGGGUUGUAAACCUCUUUCACCAGGGACGAAGCGUAAGUGACGGUACCUGGAGAAGAAGCACCGGCCAACUACGUG